UACGACUGUGCGUGAAUCCCCCCUGAUAUUGGUAUGAUCCGAGCUCAGGCACUAAGUGACUGAGCGAGAGGGCGGGGCAGCUGCUGCCUGUGAGUGCGCUGUUGGAGAAACGGAGCCAGUCAUACUAAGGAGAGCUUAAGUUUGACCAGUUCUUUCCCUCCCCGACUAAAUCGGUUUCAGUUAUGUACUGAAAUAUAAGAAUGGACAUUAGAGGGUUCUUUCAAGGAAAAAACUCAGCACAAAGAGGGAGAGAGAGGGUGAGAGAGGGAGAUGGAGAGGAAAAUGAGGACAGAAGAGAAAUGGAACAAGAACCAGGUGAGACAGACAUGUUAGUCAAAUGGUUGUUUGCCAAAACAUCAGAACACGUAUCUCGUACCUAGUGUAUCUUUUUAGGUUUGUUAUUUUUCAAAUUCUAUAUUUAU